GCAGAGGAGUCCUGUGAGAUGCCUGGACUCCAUGGUGGUGGAUACUGUGAAGCAUGAAGGAGGCCUUCAGCCUCCAUACCUGCUGCCAUUCUGCCGGUCAUUUUACAGGCUAGCUCGAAGCCCAGCUGACACUAUUUAUAUGAACAUCUUGGUUUCAGAAAGAUGCAUACCUUGCUUGUCUCCCACACACACAGCGGUGAAACAGAAUCCGACUCUGCCAGAUUUGUCAACUUAGUUUUCUUUCUGAUGACUCUCUGGAUGUUGAAAAGCAGACUCUCUUCCGUCAACAGUGAUGUUCCACCCUGCAGGACACAAGGAUGCUGACUUUUAAAGCUACAGCUCAGCUCUUCAUCUUGGAUGCACGUGGUGUCUGGGAAUCCUGCAGGUGGGUUCAGCUGCCCACGUCAUGGCCUACCUCUUGACCAUCAUCAACAGCCUGCAGGGCGUCUCCAUCUUCCUGGUGUACUGCUUCCUCAGCCAGCAGGUUCGGGAACAAUACGGGAAAUGGUUCAAAAGGGUCAGGAAACCCAAAGCUGAGUCUGAGACUUUCACGCUUUCCAGCAGGGCCGUGUCUGAUGACUCCAAACCCAUCACGGUAUGAUCAUGCGUUGCUCCCAGAAUACUUCACCAACUGAUCUGCCCGAGCAGCAUGUGCCUAUCACACUGGACAACCUGGGUGAACAGCAGAUGAUGCCCUAGGCUGGCUCACGCUUGACUUACUCCUGGACUCCUUAACCAUUAGCAGUGGUCUCAGUUUAAAAGUUUAUUUUAAUAAACAUAUUUUGCUUAGGGAA